UACGGAGGGUGCAAGCGUUGCUCGGAAUUAUUGGGCGUAAAGGGCAAGUAGGUGGUCUCAUUUGUCAGGGGUGGAAGCCUUGGGCUUAACUCAAGAAGUGCCCCUGAAACGGUGAGACUGGAGUCCUGGAGAGGCGAGUGGAAUUCCCGGUGUAGCGGUGAAAUGCGUAGAGAUCGGGAGGAACACCAGAGGCGAAGGCGGCUCGCUGGACAGGUACUGACACUCAACUGCGAAAGCGUGGGGAGCAAACAGG
rnacentral:rRNA from 1 species